rnacentral:rRNA from 1 species
UACGAAGGGUGCAAACGUUGCUCGGAAUUAUUGGGCGUAAAGCGCACGUAGGCGGCAUUGCAAGUCGGAUGUGAAAUCCCUCGGCUUAACCAAGGAAGUGCAUCCGAAACUGCAGUGCUUGAGUACUUAAGAGGAUCGCGGAAUUCCAGGUGUAGCGGUGAAAUGCGUAGAUAUCUGGAGGAACACCGGUGGCGAAGGCGGCAUCCUGGACCAACACUGACACUGAGGAGCGAAAGCCAGGGGAGCAAACGGG